UGAGGCUCGACGGAACGUUAUUUUGGCCCCAGUAUUGGCAUAGUUGUGGUGUACAACGGUAUUGUUAUUGAACGAGGCAAUGGUUGGAAGAUGAGGCAUCGCGUGAAAUGAGUGAUGUAGGAAUGUGGAGGAGACUAACGUUGAUGGGACCAAUGGUGGACCGAUGAUUGAAGUCAGUGGAUGGUAGCGUGUGGAGAGGUUGUGGCUGGGCGGAACAGAACGAUGAACACUCUUGUUUGAGAAAUGGGCAUAUGGUGGAGACGAGGAGGAACGCGACGGUGGCGAGCAAUGGAAGAGGCCGUGACCUUGAGUCGAGUCUGUGUUUAAUAUUUGCCUAUGUCGUGCUUUCACUUUUCCCCCUCCUGUACCUCAUGUUCCCCUUCACCCAUCUCCGUGUUUGUGGUCCGUUUUCUCGCCAGCAAAAUUCUUUCGGCCUUGGGAAAGAGGGUAAAGAGGAAGGCAGUAAGAAGGAAGAAGAGAAUGAGGUUUCUGAUAAAAGCAAGGAUCAAGAUAAGGAUGAUGAUGCCAUGUCUGUUGACUAACUGGUGUCCAUGGAUAUGUUUGGCUUCAAAUUUAUAUCUUGUUUUAGCAUUUGAUACUUAUGCAUAGAUUUGUAGAGGGACCUAUGACCUCACUGUUGAAUUGCAUGUCAAAGGUAUUCCUUAAAUAUUUAUCAGUUAGGAGAUAGUGAUAUGUGCCAUUAUUACAGGAGUGUAGUGUCAGCAUCACAAUUAUUGUAUUAGUUGAUUUGUAAUGUACAAGUUGGGAAUUUUGAAUGUAGUUUUGAUAAGUCUGAAGCAGCAGACUAGUAAAACACAUUAAAUAAUAAACG